UAAACAAAAGGCUGUACAUAGCAUUAGGCCUGCUACGGAUCCGGAUAUCCGGGUUUUUUGGAGUAUCUGGAUCCGUAUCCGUAUCCGGCGGAUAUGUAGUUUUAGGAUCCGCAUCCGGAUCCGUAAACCUCGGAUAUCCGGAUUUCGAAUAUCCAUGAAAAAACCGGAUAUCCGCGGAUAUUCGAGAUCCGUUUAUUUUUGGGAACAAAUUCAAUUUCCUAUUUCACCAACCAGAUUGAAUUCACCACCAAAAGAGAUCGACGUGUGCCCGACAUCAGACUUUGCAAGGCACAUACCACCAAGAUCUCGUCUUUAACGGUGUCCAAUCUGCUCCUCCUCAUUCAUCUCCGCCAUCGACACUUUGAAUCCCAUGUAUCAUCAUUCCCGUAAGUAAACUUCCGUCCAUAAAUUUACGACGGUGGAACCGAGAUGAAUAUGGUGGGGAGACGGUGAUGAAGAUUACAUGGAGAUGAGAUGGAGAUAGUGAAGGAAAUGGUGAUGAAGGAAACAUUCACGGCGGCAGAAAAAAUAUGUUAUGAAACCCUAAUAGUUAAGUCCCAAACAAACUCAAAUUCCAUCAUUUUGUCGUAGUGGGCUAAUAUUGGACUAUUGGGCUUAACAUUGAUAAUGUGUAUUUGAUUAAGCCCAGGAUACAAAUAUAACUUAAGCCCAUAAUACAAAUAUGUAGACAUAUUGAACGGAUGCGGAUAUUCGGCUCUGAUUUUUUUCAUAAUCUGGAUCCGUAUCCGGAUCCGCCGGACUCGUAUCCAGAUCCGCCGGACUCGUAUCCAGAUCCGCCGGACUCGUAUCCGGAUCCGUCGCACCUAAUUAUUCGGUUUUCCGGAUCGGAUCACGGAUCCGGAUUCGAAUACCCGCGGAUAACGGAUUUUAGUCCCAGGCCUACAUAGCAUCUACGGUAAUUAUUAACUAUUAAGUAACCAUGGGUAAAUUCGAAUUUCCUUGCCGACAAAAAGAAGGAACUUUCCAUUCCUUUUGUGAAAGUCCGUGAGAACAUGAACCCAAGUUAAUACACCUUCACAUGAUUAGCCCCACUUCU
rnacentral:sRNA from 1 species